UGCAGUCGACGAUGAUGCCCAGCUUGCUGGGUUGAUUAGUGGCGAACGGGUGAGUAACACGUGAGUAACCUGCCCCUGACUCUGGGAUAAGCGUUGGAAACGACGUCUAAUACUGGAUAUGAUCGCCGGCCGCAUGGUCUGGUGGUGGAAAGAUUUUUUGGUUGGGGAUGGACUCGCGGCCUAUCAGCUUGUUGGUGAGGUAAUGGCUCACCAAGGCGACGACGGGUAGCCGGCCUGAGAGGGUGACCGGCCACACUGGGACUGAGACACGGCCCAGACUCCUACGGGAGGCAGCAGUGGGGAAUAUUGCACAAUGGGCGAAAGCCUGAUGCAGCAACGCCGCGUGAGGGAUGACGGCCUUCGGGUUGUAAACCUCUUUUAGUAGGGAAGAAGCGAAAGUGACGGUACCUGCAGAAAAAGCACCGGCUAACUACGUGCCAGCAGCCGCGGUAAUACGUAGGGUGCAAGCGUUGUCCGGAAUUAUUGGGCGUAAAGAGCUCGUAGGCGGUUUGUCGCGUCUGCUGUGAAAUCCCGAGGCUCAACCUCGGGCUUGCAGUGGGUACGGGCAGACUAGAGUGCGGUAGGGGAGAUUGGAAUUCCUGGUGUAGCGGUGGAAUGCGCAGAUAUCAGGAGGAACACCGAUGGCGAAGGCAGAUCUCUGGGCCGUAACUGACGCUGAGGAGCGAAAGCAUGGGGAGCGAACAGGAUUAGAUA
rnacentral:rRNA from 1 species